GCCUAACGGCUGAACCAGCAACUUGGAGGAAUGUAUAGCAAUAGCUAAUUGCAUCAAUUAUUUAAACAUUGAUGCAAUAUCGACUCUGUUGAAUAAAAUUCUAGGUAGAAUUAUGAUAAUGACAUUGUCUACCUAUGUGUCUUGACCAAAUUACGUGCCAGCAGUCGCGGUAAUACGUAGAAGACUAGUGUUAUUCAUCUUUAAUAGGUUUAAAGGGUACCUAGACGGUAAAUCAAGCCUGCAAUAUGGGACUAAUGUACUAGAGUUACUUACGAGGGGGUAUUAAAGUACUGCUGGUGUAGAGAUGAAAUUCUGUCAUACCUCGUUUCGGAAGAAACACUAUGGCACAGGUAUAGGCGAAAGCAUCCCCUUAUGUGAUAACUGACGUUGAAGGACGAAGGCUUUGUGUAGCGAACAGGAUUAGAUACCCCAGUAGUCAAAGCAGAAAAUGAUGAAUGUCAUAGAUUAGAUGAUAGUUUAUUCUAUAAAUGAAAGUGUAAGCAUUCCACCUCAAGAGUAAUUUGGCAACAUUGGAACUGAAAUCAUUAGACCGUUUCUGAAACCAGUAGUGAAGUAUGUUGUUUAAUUUGAUAGUCCGCAAAAAACCUUACCACAAUUUGAAUAUUUAGAUCCAUUUACAAGCGUUGCACGGCUGUCUUCAGUUAAUGUCGUGAGAUCAUGGUUAGUUCCAUUAAUUAACGUAAACCCUUACUUUAUUUUUAUAUAGAGUUGUUCCCCGCUAGAUUGGAUAAGAUAACAGGGACUAAGACAAGUCAUCAUGGCCUGAAUAUUGUGGGCUAUA
rnacentral:rRNA from 1 species